UACGUAGGGUGCAAGCGUUGUCCGGAAUUAUUGGGCGUAAAGAGCUCGUAGGCGGUUUGUCACGUCGGUUGUGAAAAUCCGAGGCUCAACCUCGGACCUGCAAUCGAUACGGGCAGGCUAGAGUUCGGUAGGGGAGACUGGAAUUCCUGGUGUAGCGGUGAAAUGCGCAGAUAUCAGGAGGAACACCGGUGGCGAAGGCGGGUCUCUGGGCCGAUACUGACGCUGAGGAGCGAAAGCGUAGGGAGCGAACAGG
rnacentral:rRNA from 1 species